rnacentral:lncRNA from 1 species
CUGCCAGAGAAAUUCGAAAAAGAUGCUGCAUAAAGUCGGAGGGAUCUCGAGAGAGUUGGCCUCUUAUGAACUUCGGCUGGGGGUAUUUUAUACCCAACACAACUAAAAAGGAAUCAAAUCAACUAAUAAGAAAAGAAAACUUAUGCAAUCUAAAUAUAACGUAAGAAUUCUAAUCUAUAUUUAAGGCAGAAAAUUAACUAAGC